CUGGUGCCCCGCUGGACUCAGAGAGCCCCUUAGCAGGGGGACAAGAAGCAAAACUGACACAGGGUCUUCUUGCUUGGUGAGCCUGGUGGUUGGCCAACAGCUCUGGCAUUGUGGGACCCACACCAGCCAGGUUAGCCUCCCAUCCGCUGGACAUCAUGGGAGUACUGAGCAUCAGUUCCUCCUUAGUCUUGCAACAGGAUGGAACGGUUCCCAGGGCGCUGGCACUUCCAUUGGCAGCAGCAGAAGAACCAAAAUAGGACACACCAAAUGGAUCUAAUUUUGCCUGAACCUCGGUCUGCAAGGAUCAUGAUUUGCCAUCUGGGCACAAGCUUAGGGAAGCUCUGGGAACAGCUCUACUCCCAGAAAGCUGGGUGAAAAUCAACUAGACCCAGCAGGGAAGUCUCCGCGUUGAUCAGUGGGGCCUUGCUGGGCUGCCCUCCCAGUCCCCACAGGUGUUCCAAGGAGGGGCCUGAACACCAGGCUCUGGAAAACCUGAGGAUGAUGUUGCUGGAGUUGGUGCCGGGGCUCGCUCUAGGACAGGCGUGGGCUCCUCCUCUCCACUGGUG
rnacentral:lncRNA from 1 species